rnacentral:rRNA from 1 species
AGUGAACGCUGGCGGCAUGCCUAACACAUGCAAGUCGAGCGAAAGCACAGGAAGAUCUCGCUUCUACCGGUGGCGACGGGCGGAUGAGUGAGGAGUACAUCGCAUUCCUCUAUUACUUGGGUGAUUACGGAGGGACACAUCCGCUAAUAGAGCAUAUGUCGAACGGGAGAAAUCAGGGGAUCUUCGCACUUUGCGUGAUACUAUGAGCCGAUGUCGGAUUAGCUAGUUGGCGGGGUAACGGCACACCAAGGCGACGAUCCGUAGCUGGUCUGAGAGGAUGAUCAGCCACACUGGAACUGAGACACGGUCCAGACUCCUACGGGAGGCAGCAGUGGGGAAUAUUGGACAAUGGGCGCAAGCCUGAUCCAGCCAUACCGCGUGGGUGAAGAAGGCCUUCGGGUUGUAAAGCCCUUUUGUUGGGGAAGAAAAGCAGCAGGUGAAUACACCGAUGUUCUGACGGUACCCAAAGAAUAAGCACCGGCUAACUUCGUG